GGUCUGAAUGCAGUUAACCACUCCACUCCACCAACCAAUGAGGACCAGAGUCAACCUGCUGACACAAUCACCUAUGCCUCCAUUGACCACUUCAAUCAAAAUCCCCCUGAGAGAGUUGAUGCCCAAGGUGAAGAUGCAGUGAUGUAUGCCUCAGUUAUGCCCUAUUCUGGCAGAGGGAGAGAGACAGAGAAGCAUGCUGACCCCAGCUCCCUUUACUCCACUGUCAAGUAACCUCAGGGAGACAAGAAAUAAGGAGAGACAGAGAACCCUGCUGACCCCAGCUCCCUAUACUCCACUGUCAAGUAACCUCAGGGAGACAAGACAUAAGGAGAGACAGAGAACCCUGCUGACCCCAGCUCCCUCUACUCCACUGUCAACUAACCUCAGGGAGACAAGACAUAAGGAGAGACAGAGAACCCUGCUGACCCCAGCUCCCUAUACUCCACUGUCAAGUAACCUCAGGGAGACAAGACAUACGGAGAGACAGAGAACCCUGCUGACCCCAGCUCCCUCUACUCCACUGUCAAGUAACCUCAGGGAGACAUAAGGAGAGACAGAGAACCCUGCUGACCCCAGCUCCCUCUACUCCACUGUCAAGUAACCUCAGGGAGACAAGCCAUAAGGAGAGACAGAGAACCCUGCUGACCCCAGCUCCCUCUACUCCACUGUCAAGUAACCUCAGGGAGACAAGACAUAAGGAGAGACAGAGAACCCUGCUGACCCCAGCUCCCUCUACUCCACUGUCAAGUAACCUCAGGGAGACAAGACAUCAACAUGAAGACUACACUCUCUCAUUCACACCCUGAUUCCAGACCUGAUUUGGUUCUAGGAAUAGAGAUUUUUGUGCUAUUAAUUAAAAGGGACAAUCUGCACUAGUUACAUCCAUUUCUAGACAUAUUAAUUAAUGAUAUGCACCCAUUGACUCUUAGGAAAAUAAAACGUAGAAAUGCCUCAUGAGUUUAGUUAAACUGUCAUAACCCAUCAGAACCCAAAAUAGAUGCUUGUUUUACUCCAAUGUUUGUAAACAAAUGAAAUGUAUACAAACACAAUGUAUAGCCUCAAAACAAUGUUUAAACUAUAAUAUUGAUAUCAUGGAUGGCCAGUCCUUGCAUCUAUAGCUCUGUCUAUGAGAGUGGUUCUCCAGCCCCAUCCCUCAGUUCUUCAGCAAAACAAUGGCGGAGAGUGUGAUAGCUUAAUGUUUCAACUGCUGAUAUCAGCAAAAUAACAGCAAAAUAUCAACUGUAUUUUUGAUUGAUGUAGACCAAUGAGUUGGGAGACAGGAAAAGUGGAAGAGUCUGAGAGUCAGAAGGGCAUGUUUCAGAUUCAAAUUCAUGCUGACUCUGAUAGCCUAGGCUAUACAGUAAUAUACUGCAUAUGCACAUAUACAAUAUUACUGCCCAAUGUUACACACUACUAUCCAGUGUGUACAACUUCUACUACAAGACCAGAGUGUGGCUACUUUGCAAGAAUCUCAAAUGUAAAAUAUUGUUUUGGUUACUACAUGAUUCCAUAUGUGGUAUUUUAUAGUUUUGAUGUCUUCACUAUUAUUCUACAAUGUAGACAAUAUUCAAAAUAAGGAAAAACCCUUGAAUGAG